CCUACGGGGGACCGCAGUGGGGAAUAUUGGACAAUGGGGGGAACCCUGAUCCAGCGACGCCGCGUGAGUGAAGAAGUAUUUCGGUAUGUAAAGCUCUAUCAGCAGGGACGCAAGAAAUGACGGUACCUGACUAAGAAGCCCCGGCUAACUCCGUGCCAGCAGCCGCGGUCAUACGUAGGGGGCGAGCGUUCUCCGGAUUCACUGGGUGUAAAGGGAGCGUAGACGGCCAAGCAAGCCCGGUGUGAAAGCCCGGGGCCCAACCCCGGGACUGCCCUUGGAACUGCAGGGCGGGAGUGCGGGAGGGGCAGGUGGAAUUCCUGGUGGAGCGGUGAAAUGCGUAGAUAUCAGGAGGAACACCGGCGGCGAAGGCGGCCUGCUGGACCGCGACUGACGUUGAGGCUCGAAAGCGUGGGGAGCGAACAGGAUUAGAUACCCCUGUAGUC
rnacentral:rRNA from 1 species